UACGUAGGGUGCGAGCGUUGUCCGGAAUUAUUGGGCGUAAAGGGCUCGUAGGCGGUUUGUCGCGUCGGGAGUGAAAUCCACUGGCUUAACUGGUGGCUUGCUUUCGAUACGGGCAGACUGGAGGUAUGCAGGGGAGAACGGAAUUCCUGGUGUAGCGGUGAAAUGCGCAGAUAUCAGGAGGAACACCGGUGGCGAAGGCGGGUCUGUGGGCAACAACUGACGCUGAGGAGCGAAAGCGUGGGGAGCGAGCAGG
rnacentral:rRNA from 1 species